AUAAUUUUGUGCAGGGAUGGAUGUUUUUCAUUAUCAUAAUACAAGAAUAUUAGAGGGCACCAAUCAAGUUUCCAAGAAUAAAUGGUUUGCAAUUAGUGUUUCAACUGUACUGGAUGGCAACUGGCAAUGCUAUUGCUUAUGAUAGGUCCAAAACGGGGAUCCUUCCUGACAAAACGAUGUACCAAUUAGCAAAUUUGGGGAGUAUACAACAAUUAUUGAUACAAGGGUGGAGAGAAUUACAGCAACAAUUGUUAUUGUUGGUUGUGGUGGUGGUGGUGUAAAGCAUUAUUUGUGUAAUGUGAAAUAGCAUAUGUCCAUGGUUCAGAAUCACAGUUGUAACAUUCGACUACGUUAGAGCCAGAUAUGCAUGAAAUAACUUUGGAACAAUCUGCAAGUAAGAGAAAGGAGUGAUUUUACUGUACAAGAUAACAGUGAGCAUUACCAAGUUCAGUAAUACAAGGCUCUAUCUUUGCGUGUUGAGAGAGGGUAUCGAUUACUUCUUUCUGGUUCAUAUACACCUGAAGGCAGCGCUCUAUAAGAGCCUGGACCUGUACACCAGUAGUCAGCAACUUGAGUUAAUGAAUUAUCUUAUCGAUCUCUCCAAGUAAAUACAUAUGAAUUCUUUGAAGUAUGUUGCAUGACUUGCAUCAAAUAAGAUUGGAAUGUAAUAGAAAGACAGCUAUUGAGCAGAAUAUUACAGGACACAAGGAUUCAUGGCAUGCACAAAACCAAUAUCAGUUGCCUGUAGGAACUACAGGUGCACAACCAAUGACGGAUGCAUGAGAGUACCCUAGACCUUAGAUGGCUGAACCAUUGGUAUCAUCCGACUGAAACCCUAGAUUACCAAUUUGAAUACGAGUGCAGAAACCAGCCUGUUCUUUGAGGGGGAACAGACACGACUAAGGGAUAUCAACAAUUCGCAACACCCAGGGAGCAGAAUCACA
rnacentral:lncRNA from 1 species